rnacentral:piRNA from 1 species
UGACUGAAAUGAAUGAGCAUCAAAUCGAGG